AGAAACGUUAGUGUUUUCUAUCCAAAUCUACCAAUUAUAUGCAUAUCCUAGCUUUUGGGCCUGAGUAGCAGGCAGCUUACUUUGGGCACGCUUUUCAUCCGGACCUCAAAAUACUGCCCCUUACCCUAGACAGGUUAGAUUCACACACGACACUAGAUAUAACAGACUGACCCUAGCCCCCAGACACAUAAACUACUGCAGCAUAAAUACUGGAGGCUGAGACAGGAGUCUCUGUCUGUCUGUAAUCCUCCUUAACUGUGGAGACAGCCAGAGGUAACCUGUCUCUCUCUCUGUAACCCUCCUUAACCGUGGAGACAGCCAGAGGUAACCUGUCUCUCUCUCUGUAACCCUCCUUAACCGUGGAGACAGCCAGAGGUAACCUGUCUCUCUCUCUGUAACCCUCCUUAACCGUGGAGACAGCCAGAGGUAACCUGUCUCUCUCUCUGUAACCCUCCUUAACCGUGGAGACAGCCAGAGGUAACCUGUCUCUCUCUCUGUAACCCUCCUUAACCGUGGAGACAGCCAGAGGUAACCUGUCUCUCUCUCUGUAACCCUCCUUAACCGUGGAGACAGCCAGAGGUAACCUGUCUCUCUGUAAUCCUCCAGGUGAUGGUCGGGGUCUCUCCUCCCUGACUAGCGGUACCGAGGACCUGUUUGACCCUCUCCCCAGCAGGAAGACCCCAGAGUCCUUCCUGGGUCCUAAUGCAGCAUUGGUCAACCUGGACUCACUGGUCACCAAGCCUCCUCAGCCUGCUCCUGUAGUCAACCCCUUCCUCGCUGCCGCAGUCCCUGUAGCCGCCCCCAGGCCAACCCGUUCCAGAUGGGCCAGCCUAACCCCCUACCUUAAACCAGAUGAGGAUCAGCCCUAUGCCAGGCCUGAGUCUGGGAGGUGGUGCAGGGUUUAGCAGCUUGUCCUCCAUGGCAGACCCUCUGCCCCUCUCCUCCUUGCCACCACCCCAGCCCCUGGGGAUGGUCCCCCUGACGGGCCACAUGGUCCCCGGGAUUGGAGGGAUGGGGGGUAUCCCAACCUCUGUGUCUAUGUCCCAGCCCCUGUUCAGUUCAGCUCUGCCCCCCACAGCGGGCACACAUCCUCCUGGGACCACCAACCCCUUCCUGUUGUGAGGGAACACCUCGACAACACCCCUGGAAUCCUCUCCUCAGUCUUUCCACCUCGCCGUUUCCUCUCUUCCCGUUUCCUCUCCUCUCUCUCUUCCCGUUUCCUCUCCUCUCUCUCUUCCCGUUUCCUCUCCUCUCUCUCUUCCCGUUUCCUCUCCUCUCUCUCUUCCCGUUUCCUCUCCUCUCUCUCUUCCCGUUUCCUCUCUCUCUUCCCGUUUCCUCUCUCUCUCUCUCUUCCCCGCUCCUCUCUCUCUCUUCCCCGCUCCUCUCUCUCUCUUCCCCGCUCCUCUCUCUCUCUUCCCUCUCUCUCUCUCUCUUCCCCUCCUCUCUCUCUCUUCCUCUCUCUCUCUCUUCCCGCUC
rnacentral:lncRNA from 1 species